UUUUCAAUGUGUUGUAUUUUAUUUUUGUUUGUUGUUCAACAAUAUUGUUGAGUGUUUGUGAAUUUUAUUUUAAUGAGCCAUUUUUAUUUAAUUUAGCGGUAUUUUUAAAAUUCUGUUUCCUGCGGAAAUUGCUUUCCAUCUAUUGCACUUCCUGUUCCUGAGUCCGUCUCUCCCUCACAAUGGUCUGGUAUUGCUGACGGUGAGUCGAGUGGAAAAUUGUCGCACUGUUUUGGCUCUGUUCUUGAAUGAAAAGUGACCAGUUAUGUUACACACGUUAACGGUCGCUGAUACGAUCACGGUGUCCAGCUGUUGUGUGAUUUGAACGGUCAAAGUAAACGUUUUGUGACGGUCUCAUUGAGCCACUUUGACGCCGUUUGUCUGGCCACAUCCGGUCGCCCCGACGUCUGUUUUCCCUGUAUAAAUGUUGUUUUGUUUGUAUAGGAAGUGCAAAGACGGACCAGAAGGCAAUAGGUGUGUUUCAUUGUCUUCUGCAGUGUGGUCCUGUCUCCCACACAAUGGUUUGGUAUUGCUGACGGAAGUGCAAAGACGGACCAGAAGGCAAUAAGUGUGUUUCAUUGUCUUCUGCAGCAUAAAUAAAUGCUGGGAAAAUCCAC